rnacentral:rRNA from 1 species
UACAGAGGGGGCAAGCGUUAUUCGGAAUUAUUGGGCGUAAAGGGCGCGUAGGCGGCUACUUAAGUCGGAUGUGAAACCCUCAGGCUCAACCUGGGGACGCCACUCGAUACUGCUGUGGCUAGAGUCCAGUAGAGGAGUGUGGAAUUCCCGGUGUAGCGGUGAAAUGCGCAGAUAUCGGGAGGAACACCAACGGCGAAGGCAGCACUCUGGCUGGAACG